GACCAUUUUUGCAACAUUAAAAAUGAAAAUAAAAACAAAAACUAGUGGAUACAAAUUACAUGGGCAAUCUUUUCAUCGCAGUUUUCGAUCUUUGCGAAUUCCUCAUCAAAAGCGUAGAUGGCAUACUUGUGCAGAGGAGAUUUGAUGCUUGGUGGUCCAUGUCCAUGACAAUGAGGUUUGAUUUUGCAAUUGUCUUUGUUUGAAGACCAUUUUUGCAAAAAAACAAAAAACAAAAAACAAAAAAAAAAACAACAAAAACUAGUGGAUACAAAUUGUAGCCGUCUGAUUAAUCCAACGGUGGAAGUUUUAAGUAAGCUAAAAAAAGUGUUAUUAGGACUAAGGUAGCAAAAUUAACAACCUACCAGAAAAAAAGGGGGCCAAAAGAUAAAUGAGACAGAACUAUGGCGAUAAAAUGAAAUUCCCACAUAAAAUUGUUGCCUGGAAAUAGCUUUUCCAAUUCAUUAACCCAAAAUUGGUUGGAACCAUAGAUAAACCUGGGACGGAAGGCAAGAAGUAACAGGGCAUAUAAAUAGAGAAGAGAGGUCCCCCUGACCAAUUAGGGUUUGAGCCUACGCCUUGCUCUUACCACGCUGUCAUCAUGUACCGAAAGGAAUGUCCUAGAAGCUAGAAAGGGUUUCUACUUUUCUUCUUCACUCUUCUUCUCUAGCACAGCAGAAGAACGAGACGUUCCGUCAACUCCAUUUCUUCGGCUUUGUUGAUCACAUCAGAAAUUUUGUUAUAUCUAUUUGAAUGUGCAAGACAUGGAUGACAUACAAGAAGGUAUCACAAAAAGGAUGCAGGAAUUGAAAUUUGAAGCGAUGACACACUGUUUUCCUCGAGAAAUCAUACAUGAGAUCCUAUUUAGGCUAUCCGUUAAAUCUGUAAUCAAUUGCACCUCAGUGUGCAAGUCAUGGAGGUCCAUGAUCAUGAACCAAAGCUUUAUUCGCGCCCAUCUCAGCCCAAUUAAUAACUUGAACAACAGUCACCUCUUCCUAAUCCACAGGGUUGUUGGUAGGGAGGGCUGCACUACGCUACACAGAGCCAUCGUCCACGAUGUAAUAGAAGAGUGCAUUAUGAUAACCAGGCUUUCGAGGAGUACUCCAAGGUAGAAUUUCCAAUUGUUCCAAAGCAAGAACUGCAUAAUCCACAUCUUCAUGUGGCUAGCACUUGUGAUGGGCUAAUCUGCGUUGCGGAUGAUAUCUACUAUUAUGAUUACAACAAUAAGACUUCUAUCCAAGGCGUUAUGUUUUAGGAAGACCGGUGAAGUAUUGUUGAUGCUUUUUGGAGAUAGGGAACAAAUUUUUUUGGUGUAAGGCCUCAUCAUGAAUAUACUUAACGGACCAGACAAAUGCCGUUUCUAACUAAGAGAGAAAGAACAGCUGCCAAGUGUUCUAUUUUGAUCUAUGAAUUUUUGGGUAAAAGCUAAAGAAUUCCUCAUUUGGCAUCCAUCUCUUUUGUGGGUAAGUUUUGGGAAGUUUCUUAGCAAACUUUCUCUUCUUCUUCUUCAAGAGUAAACCAUCGCAUUUUUCAUCUUUGAGUUUUCCAAAUUGAUUGUUCGAAAACUGUAUUUGAAAAAUGAAAUCUGCAUCUAUCUAUAUCAAACACUCUCUCAUAUAUAUCUAGGUCAGAUUCAAAAGAUUGAUUUCUUCAAGAGUAUGGUUUCUUGAAGAAAUUGGUCAUUUUCUCCUUGAAUCCAAAUUUCGAUUCUGUUUGAGUUUGAGCUGGCUAGCGGUGCCAUGGGAUGAAAGAGCUAAAGGAGCUGCCAUUGCUACGAAUGACUAAACUGCUGGUUUUGCUAAGCUGGAGAAGAAGAUGGCACAAAUGAGGUUGCUUUGUUAAGGCUUUGGAAUAAUGGAUGUAGCAGAUUUUUUGCAAGGAUAUUAUCUUUAUGUGUAUUUUUGUGAUGGCUUGUAAUCUUUAAUUUCAUAAGUUUAAUUUGGAUUGCUUGCUUUAUUUGUGUAUUAUUUUUUGUAAUGGUUUGUAAGAGAUUAUAUUUCCUUUCCUUGGUUGGUUGGUUGAAUGUGUGAAUGUGAGAUUCAUUUAGU